ensembl:lncRNA
UUUAGAGGCAAGAAUGGCACAUCUGUUGUUUUGCACAGCCUUCAACAUCAGGUUGUGGGAUGGAUGAGAAGCAUGUUUCAAGACCCCAUAAUGAACCUUCCCAUAAAACAGCCAUGGGUAUGAGAAGCAGAGGGCUACAUAAGGGAUAUGUCAGGCAGAUGAGAGCUUUUAGCCUGGAGGAGAUGUCAAGAGAGAUUUUUGAGUCACUGCAAACAAUGCAUCAUAUCCAGUCCAGACUCCACACAAGGUUGUGAAGGCUAGAAUUAACAGCCAGCCAUGAAGAGGAGCAGUGGAUACAAACAAUUUGGAAUGAGAAGACAGUGGAUUACAGAACCAAAAAUUUCCUCAAGCUUUGCUCAGCUCCGAGAUGAAAGCUUGCAGCUGUGUAAGCAGGAGGCCACAACUGAUCUCAGCUACCAUCAUGACUUUUUUAAGGAGAAGGUCAGUCUACUUGUUUUCUGUAUGGUUUGAUUGCUUCAAAACAAAGUAUGGGAGUGACAAAUGUUGAUAAAUUGCUCCAAAAUCUUAAAAUGCUGAUAGUUAUUCUUUGCUUCUCUCUUCUAGAUGCUUCAAAUUCUUGCUUAUGCCAUCUGCACUUUCAGCACAUGACGUUCAGUGAUUCAUAGGCAUCUCCUGUUGGUCAUCUCAUUGUCAAGUAUUCCCCUUGUUCACAUGCGCCACACCCGUUUAUCUGCCAUCAUGUCUCCUGUGGGCACUGCUGAUACUUGCUUCUCCUUUCAACAUCGUUUGAUCCUCCCAAAGUUUCUCUUUGUUUCUGUCUGGCUGGAAAAAAUGAUGAAACUGAAAUCUGGAGCCUAAGAAAAUGAAGACUAGUGACUUGUUCUUACCCCUACCAGAAAGUUAUUACACUUCACACCCCUGAAGGGAAACUACAUAGCAAGGGAACAGCUGUUAGGUCUUUAUACAGUCACUCUAGCAGCAUGCCAGGUCCCCUUAGAUACUGAAAGACCACUGUCAGGUCUCUCUGGAGCCUUCUCUUCUCCAGGAUAAAAAGCCCCAGCUCUUUCAGCCUGUCAACCUUUGCCACCUGGCCAGAAGGGAAGACACGUCCCCUCUGGGUCCCUUUCCUACAUGGAGCCAUGCAGGCCCGGCAGUGCUGGGGAUCUGGAGGUGCUGCUGAGGAUCAUUCAGGUCUGCAGGCUGUAAAUCUGGUGCUGUCCUACACUGCAUUCUUCAGUUCUUGUUUACUGAAAGAGCAUGGUUACUACACCGGCGUAGAAAUGAAAGGACGCCUCGAGCAGAAAAUCUGAAAGGCUGAUGCCUUUCCGUCGGUCCCGUUAGGUGGAGCUCUCAGACAAGGAGAAAUGACAUCCCACCAGGCACCCUGAGGAGUCGUUAGCACUGUAUUAUUCAGGUAUUUAUUUAUUUUUUUCCAUGCCGAGAGCUUUCUCAUUUUGAAAAAGCUCAUUUCUGUCCUGCUAGAAACCUUACUGCAUGCUUUUAAAACCAGUGCGAUGCAGCAGCCCUGUCUGUACAACCUGUUUUCGUUAGCUUAACACAUCACUGAGAUGGAGCUGAAAACUUCAGAGAUGCUGUGUCACUGGGACAACAUCAGCAACGCGAAAGUCAGAGGAAUAGUUAUGGAAUUAAAGAAGCAGAGCAGAUAAAAACACUGGGUGCGGCACACAGAAGUCAGACAUUUCCAGCAAGAGCUCAGUUCUGUCCGUGGUAGUCAUCCACUGACAGCAAUGGUGCAGGGUUCAGUGGAAAAAUUAGCCAUGCAAACACAAAGGUGUAGUACAAAUUGAAACAGCGAAUCGUUUGCUAUGUGACUUUCUGCCACUUUCAGAUUGUAGUUGCUCUCUUAUCUUGAUUUUGUACCUGACAUAAAUUCCUACAAGGUACGGGGGUAGCCCUCCCUACUCCCACACAAGGAGAACAAAGGUAACCCUACACAGGUAUGAGACAGAAAAGUGAGUCCUACCAAAAAGUCGUGCAUUUUUCAAGGGUAUUGGCUCUCUUGCCAAAUGUUUGCUACGUGCAAUCGCUAAGCAAUGUCAAUAUUUUUGCUACAAAAGUGGGGGUAGUUGGAAAGAUAGGAAAGAGGAAGGAGAAGAUAAAGAACUGACAGAAAUUAGCAGAGAUCAUCCAGAUACAUAUGGAAGGAAAGAUUCAAACCAGUCUCUGCUCGACUCUACACCUUUUCUAAGAGAGACAAUUGAUUUAAUUUAAUCACUUCAACCAUGAUGAAAAUCUGCUAGCUUUAUCCUUUAUUAGGGCAGACAUGACACUCCUGUAAUAGAUUAUUUCAGUAAAGCUUAGCACAUCUCCUGCAUUUAUCCUUGAUACAAAAACAGAGUAAUUUCAUGAUCAGUACAGCACAAUGCUGUGAAGUGUUUCUGAAUAAAUGGUUGGUGUGUUUGAAUAUAGCCUGUCUAGCUCCAGUUUUGCAACAAAAACAAGUGCAGAUGCUUGAACAGCCUGAAAGCCUGCUCCAUUGUCAGACUUCUGAAAACCUGUACUCUUUUUCACACAAAGGAAACACCGUUUAGACUUCAUGCUAAAAUAAAUAAUACGCAGUGGCAGUGAGACCUGAGAACCAGCAGAUUCAUUUCUGUGUUGAAAUCAGUUGGCCAUAUUACUUGACAGACUCUGACUUUAUCCGGAUGCGCUUUCCCGAUGUAAGAAGACUUGCCCUACCAGUAAGGACUGGUGUGCUGUAAGAAGAGUCGCUCCCCAGCACUGGAGCUCUCUCCCUCACAUCCAUGUUCUUUGGCUCUAUGCAUUUCCCCAGAUAGAUAGACUUAAUUCUUGUCUCCAGUAAUUCAUUGAAAACUUGAUGCUAACGUAAGAAAGGUGUCACAGGUGAUCUUUCCUUCUUGACGUGAUAUCAUGAGCCAGGAUUGUUUUGGCUGCACUGGGCAACACAUACCAAUCGCAGUGGCUGUAGUUUCCACCAACCAGUUCAGGUGCAGGCACAAAAAGCCAGAGCUUCAGGAGCAUUUCUAAUUCUUCACUUCCCCUCUCCUGCCUUUGGGAUGGCCUUAAUGUCUGCAGGGUGUACAGACGGUUUUCCCUUCAAGCUCUCCUCUGUGGUCUGUUCAGCUUUCAAAUGACAGUGUGUAUCUGUGGUACUGAUAUGCUCUGUUCUCUGUCAUGACUUCUGCUUACCCUGAGACCCCUGACUGCAACAGAGGGAGUUCCUAUAGUCCCCGUUUCAUGGCUUCAGGCUAAGAGACUUCUUUAGCACUAUCCAGGUAACCUGUGACAGAUCAGGAGACUAAAUCUGAUUCCAGUCCAGAGCUCCAACCAUUGAACGUACUAUGCUGCAUUACACAAAUAGAUGAGUGUGGGUCCUAUUUAAGAAGAAAAAAGGGGAUGAAGGUUAUGGUAGCCUUACCCCAUUUGCCCAGGUUUCAAAGACAAGCAAGAAAAAGGGUCAAGACAGUGGAAGCUUGAAGCAUUUGAUGCCUCAUGGUGAGCCCCUGAUAAGUCCUGCAGGCAGACAAGGCAGCUGGUAAGGCACAUUAAGCAAAGCAUCACAGAAGCGUCACUCUAAUUUUCCCAGUGUAAACAAAAAAGCUCUCUCCAAAUGUGAAAUUUCUGCAUCGAGAACUUCAGUUUUUAAGAGUGUUUUUCUUUGGAUUUUUUUUUUUUCUGUCAGAAAAUUCUUAGUUAUGCACUACAUGCCCCCCUAAUUCCCACUCCAGCUUCCCACUGUCCAUGCCUCUGAAUGAGCGAGAACAGUCUGUCAUCCAUGAUUCAAUAUUUCAGGAAAGCUGAGAGUGGUUAUAAGACAGAAAAUCAAUCUUAACUAGUGAGAUUUCCAUAAAGUUCAAUUAAAAGUGUCAAGCUAUUGUGACUAGAUUUGUCAAACCGUGGGUGACGAUCUUUGCAGUGCAGCACCGUUCUUGUCUGGAGAGGAAUGCAAGAGGGGAUCCCGGUUCCCAGACUGCUGCAGGCACACCACAUUUCUGGAUACAUCUCUGCCCCUUAAUCCUGCAUCCAGAACUGAGCAGCCUCCUGGAAAGGGAGAGUUUGAGGAGAAAGCCAAUGCAAAUGCUUGUGGCUCAGAAGGAAACUGGUAUGAACUUGAUAAGGAAAAUAAUAGCAUUCACACAACAACAGUCGAGAUCUGUUACUGAUUGUGCUGCACCACUCCUUUUCUUUCAUUCAUAUGAUUCAGAACUGGUGCUUUGAAGAGAAUAUAAAUACAUUCCUCUUGACUUCUUUGUCUGUCCUUUUGGAGAAGUGCUAAGCGCUGGUUCUGUGUAUCCCAGUAUGGUUUCUUUUUUAAUAUCUAUUUCAGAAAACACACCCCUACUGCAGCACAGUGCAGCCUAUAGCAAUGAAGAGGAAUAAUAACAAAAUCCUCAAAGACAGAUCAGGCAUUCUGUAUGCCGUACUUCGGUCAAACUCGAAUCUGAAGUGCUUCUAUAAAUCAUCAAAACCACAUUUUCUCCCUCUCUUGCAAUAGGUUAUGUGACAUUACAAAUUCCUGCUGGUAAUUAUGUAGGAAUACGCUCAGUUGGCUGAAUUCAUUAUACUUCUUAAAGUAGCACUCGUAUUUGCUCUGCAUAACUGCAGUCUCCCAUUCAUUUAGUAACAGUCUCCUCCUAUUAGCCAUCUCAUUUUAACAGUGGGUGUGGACAGCUCCGGAAGGUGGGUGCUUGGUGAUAGCUGCACCAUGUGGUGACAGUGGAGGCUCUCAGCCAAGUGACCUGCUCAAAACCUGGCAAUGCCACACAUUCCCUUAAGCGAGUGCUUCUGCCAUGACCAGAAGCAAUGGGGGCCCUGAGAAAAGACCACAAACGCCCUUCUACAGCACAAGGCAGGACUAAUAGUGUAUGGUCAGCAUCAACAGAACCGCAGGGCCUACUACAACAGGUAAUUAUCUGAUUCAUGGAGUUAAUUUCUUUUGGCUUGUCACUAUGACUUCCUACUGCACAGAAAGAGGAGAGAGAGUCAAAGAUAAACAUGUGCCUCUUACAAAAUGAAGAAUUCUAUAGGAGAAAGCCCAAAUACAAUUAAAAGAUAGCAGUAUGUAACAAUUAACCACGUCCAGCCUUUCCUCAUCAUUAGCAAAAUAUAGAUGGAAGACAGACCUAGCUCGCUCACAGCAGAAUAUAUUUGGCAUCACCUUUAAACUAUACACACAACAUAGCCUUCUAUUGAUCCCAUUGAUCUCUUUCACCUUAUAUAUCAGUUAUCAUUUUUUGAAAGGAUAUUUUUCUGUUGCUUAAAUAACAGCUUGAUUGCUGGAGCCAAUUUCCACCACAACAAAACUGUUUACCUCACUGUAUGAGUGAGUGGGGCUGUUAGUCCUGAAGGCUUGUUGUGUAGAUGCUGGCUAGAGAAAAAAUGAUUUCAGGUUGAGUGGAGCCCGUUCUAACCUCCAAUAUGCAAAUCUUUACUUCCUUGUUGGUUCUCUAAAGGUGCAGAAAAGAAGAGAAAGCUUCCUCCCCCAGCUCUGAUAUUGAAUUCACCUCUGAUUUUGAUUCCCAAUGAAGAUUUUUUUUCUUUCCAAAUGUGUGGCAUAAAGUAAAAUCUUGUACUUCUGUGCACAUAAAAAAUCCAUAAUGCAGGGUAUUGGUAGAAUGCUUGGGAACCACAACCAGAAUGAGUUAGAUUAGGUAGGAAGAGACGGAAAGGGAGGGAAAGGAAAGGGAAGAGAAAGGUCAUUGUAAUUGAUUAACUCAAGUCUCUCUUGUUGUACUAAAGGAGGAAGGACUGAUGAGCAUAUUUGAAAGGACUCAAAGAGAAAGCUCCUUAUUUAUGGAAUCCACCACUGUAGCAGUCAGAGGGAGAGGUCAUGAAAAUAUUGCUCUUUCAAAAUCCAAUGGAACCGUAGCUGAGCCAUAAUAAGUACCGGUGCAGAUGGGCAUAUGCCUAACAUAAGCUCUCCUCUGUCCUCUGAUCUGAAAGAUAAGCACUAAAAGUGCUAAUGGAAGGUUAGGCUGGAAAUACCUCCUCUCACCCUCCUUUUCUCUAACUUGCUUGCUGAGUUUAUUCCGUGUUUUCAAAUUCCUACAGAUAAAAUUGAAGAACAAAAAUGCAGCUGGGGUUCAUGCAAGUGGCAAUUUGAAGAGUACCUUUAUUCUCAAACAGCUUGACUUCUCUUGUCGGGGAGAGUAUCUGUCAAACCACACGUUUCUCCUUCCUGAGCUCAAAUAACAGGUGGCUGAAAUCUGAAAAGGGCUGAUUUUCAAGAACGUGUUGUAUUUAGCAAGUUAUAUUUACAACCAAAUAGCAAUGCAAUCAUGUCUACUCGCUGCUCCUCUGGGACAGAAUUAAGAAAUAUCACCCAAAUGUGAACAGCAGAUCCGUGAUACAGGCAGGAGUGGGACUGGUCCUUCUCAAGUCACAACUCCACUGUUUAACUACAGGGCCAUAAAACUUCCUUUCCUAGUCUGCUAGCAAUGCCACGAUCCACUCAGACAAAGAGUGAUAUCAAGAAUAAGUCCAUCUGGCAUCAGCCACAGCCCAUAUGAGAUGAAGAUCAACAGCCUGGGAAGAGGAGUGAACUCAGUGCCUAGGGCUGGGCAGUGCUAGCACAAGCUGUCUUCCCCCUUUGCUGAGGGGGGCUGUCAGGUUUGGAUCAGCAGCAACACAAGGGCAGCCCCAGAAGUCAUUGCCUGUGUCAUAAACCAGAUGCCCCAGGGGAUUCUGAAUAACCCUACAGGCAAACAGAAUGGGCCAUCAUCCUCUUUUGUCAUGAAAAGGUAGGAGAUUCACUUCUGCAGCUUCAAGAGAAAUUGGGAAAGUAUGGCUACUUGAUUUUCAGCCCUGAUUUGUGCCUUCAAUUUGAUAAAGAUCCAUUCUUACAUGCUUGAGUCAUUUUAGCUACUUUUUCUUGCUUUUUUUCCCCUGUACACUCAGACCUGAAAACUGGAACUCCAGCAUCCCAGGAGGGUACCACUGACGUAAUGUAGCAUGACAAUACAUAACUCCCAUUGGCUUCCUGCGUUGGUGCUCACAAGUGUUCUACGCAGAAAGUCUUUUCUUCAGAACUGUGUUGUGCUGAGGACUGAAUUAAUCUGUUAUUUAAUGUGGCUACUGAGCUUUAUGUUCUGCAAAUUACCAUUACUUGAUAUUUCUUCUUGCUGUGAAUUUUUUUGUCGAGUUUGGACUUGGUGAUCCUUAUGGGUCCUUUCCAGUGUGGGUUAUUCUAUGAUUUUAUGAUUUCCAAACUGUAAAGAUUUAUACUUUCUCAUGUUGUUUGAUCGUUUGCUUUUAAUACAUCUCUUCAUCUGCUGAAUAAUGCAGGUAGAUUUUGGAUUUUCUCAUGACUUUGCCCCACCAAAGUAGCUAACUAGGGUGAAGUCCAUUAAUUGAUAUCACUCAAUUAAUUAUUCUGAGAACUCAGAACCUGGUUUCUGGCUCUGUCUUCUGAAAGGAAAAUCUGUGUUGUUUGUUUGAUUGCUCCUCAAGCUGCAUGUGCCUUCCCAGGCUUUGAAGCUAUGCCCAUCACUGCAGAACAUGAGAUGACUGAUAACGCCCUUCUCAUUCACAGAACAGACACUGUUCAGCAACAACAUGUUUUGGCCUAAAAAGUGGUGUUUGAGACCUGAUACGUAAUCUAUGAAUUCGUCCAAUCUGGUCAGUGCCCCUUGCUUUGGUGUUCUUAAGAUAUAGAUGCACAUCCACUCAGAAAAUCACUGCUGCCCCAGGCAGUGGCCAGGCCAUCUCUAUCAGCUCUUGGUCACUGGGAACGUUUCAAAGUUGCUCUGGAAACAGAAGGCUCUGAAACUACACAGUGUUAUUCCCAUGAACAACGCACUGCCCUACAGUUUGCUCUGUUCACAGCCAGCUACUCUUCUAUUAGACUCUUUUUUUUUAUUAUUAUUAUUUGCCCACAAAUUUUGUUAUACUUUCUUGUAAGCAGUCAAAAUUCAAGUUUUGUUGAAAUCAGCAAUAAAAAUUCUGAAGCAAAAAAUACCAAUAAAUCUAGUUAUUUAGCCAAUAAACAGAGGUAGGCUAAACUAGUAUGCUCUGAUCCCUGUGCAGCAGUGCCAAGCAGGUGGCCAUACACAAUUUAGCUCACUGACGAUUGCCUGCAGUGUGACCAACGCAUGGCAGUCCUUGGUGCAGACACAUCCAGGAGCAGCUGGCCGAGGGCAUUCCCUGGGUAUUUUGGGGCAUGGUCCUGGCACCUGUUCUCCAAUGAAUUGUUCUUUAUCACUUUAAUAAACCGGGAUAUACAUUCUUACAUUUUGGCUUCUAAAAUUCCCGUGAAACCACUGAAAGCUGAGCAUGCGGUGGAAGACUGUAUGUAGGAAUGUUCAGCUUCUGUUGGACAUUCUUGAUGGGAAUCUCCUUUAGUGAACACUGAGAUGUAUGAACAACAAGCCUUUCACCGAUACCCUGAAGUUGCAGGCAAAAGCCACUGUCUUAAAAAAGAAAGGGAUUAGGCUAGCUGGAUGUUUUGGUUGGUAAAGGAGUUGAAAAACAUUAUUUAUUUCAGCAUGAACUCACCGGACCUCUGCCCCUGUUUUCACUGCAGAGAGACACAGGAUGGAUUCAUUUUGAUUCUGUUCUCAGGCGAUGGUAAGAGGAUCGUCUCUGUUGAAUAGCCCUGACUGUUGUGACACCAAGUGUCCUCCACUAGCACAGAGCCCUGUUUGUUCCCCCAGCCCCAGCGACACGCUGGGUCAGACUCCCUCCAUUGGGGCUGCACGCAUUCGGCAGAUCUUUUCACCAUCAGUGGGGUUCAGGGGGGACGCAACGUGGCUGACACUGGGACUACAGACCCUGGGCAGCUGGGGAGCAAUGAUGGUGGGCCCAGCAGGGCAAUGCCCCCUCCUGCCAGUUUCCUUCUCUGAGCAACCUGUUCAUCGGGGUCCGUGUAGGUGUGCAAUGCUGUGUGACCGUGGAUUUUUGCACCCAACCUCUGUGCGCAUUGUUGACUGCAGUGGCACCACUGCUGCAGCACAUUUUCAAAGAGAACUGAAGAAAACAAAAAGCUACAUGUACUGGUAUUCCUCUUUAAUUUAAUAUCAUCUUACAAGGUGGAAAUUAAAAUGAUUUUUUCUGUCACCGUUAUCUCACUUCACUUGGCGAUGAUCGAUUUCCUUCUCCCCUACUGCUUACUAAUAAGACAUCUGAACACUGAGAUGGUUUUUGUGUUUACUUCCUUGUUUAAAUCAGCUUCCCCAGCUAAGGACAGCCUUGGCACUACAUCUGCUCCGCAACUUGUGAUUUCUGCGUUGGCUCCACGCUGACAGAAUGUCAGGCAUGGAGAGGUAUAUAUUUUUAAUUACUCGGGGAUGCCCCUGUGUAUAAGUACAGGCAAAUUAACUAAGCACAGUCCAAAACCUGCUCCUAGCAGCGCUCACAUGUUACACACACACACACAUUUCAGGCACCGAGCCUCACCUCUUGGGGCUGACGCAUGGAGAGAUGGUGGCAGGUGACAACGACACCUUUCUACAAAUGGAACGCUGAUGUCCAGGGAGAGGAAUAGACAAAAGUCAGCAUCGCUGAUGUCUGAAAGAAUCUGGUGCUUGCUUCCAGAAAUCAGCGAUCCUUCGCAGAGGUGGGGGUAUGGCAGUGAGCACGGCUGCUGCCUGGGGUCUGGGCACCGUGCUGUGAGCUCCUCGCACCCUGCUAGCAUGGCAGCUCCAGCCCUGAUGGAGUUAUUGCGACAGACUAAAAAUGCUCAGUGAACAUCUCGCAGUUUAAGGAGAAAAUACCAAAAGGGAAGGGAAGGAAACUUGGCCAUAUGCACAUCGCAGGCGAGGAACCAUGGAAAGAUGGGGCCGAGGCUCUGGAGCUGAGUGCUGCUGUGGAGCUGAGUAAUAGGCUCUGCAGUGCAUGCUCUCGGGACGUCAUCCCACACCUUUUGGACGUUUUGCUGUCUGUGGCAUCUCCUUACCAAAUGUGUUUUGUGUCGCCCCAGCUGAAAUCUCUGUGUUCAGCAUUAGUCAGUUUUUAUCUCUGGGAUCUUCACACCCCAAGACCUACACAGUGCUGUCCUAUCUCCUUCCUCUCAAACUUCAUUGUCCUUCGCUUACCCUGUUUCUCUAAGCGGAAAUUUUGGUGUUUCCUUCUCCCUCUUGGCAAAGCUGCUCUUGCUCUUCUCAGGAAGACAACACCUUAAGGUUUCUUUCAGCCCUAUCCUAAACAGUUUCACGAUUUUCUUCACAACGAUCUCUGUAGCAACACCACCUCACCCACAGCUGGGCUGUACCGGGUCCCUUCCCACAUGCAGACCCCGUGGGGGGACCCCACACCACGGCCGGGUCCCGGCCCUGGGCAGAGGCACCCGCGGCACUGCAGGGACCGGGCCGGGAGG